rnacentral:lncRNA from 7 species
GCACUGUCUCGCGGAGGCGGAGGGGAAGGCGGUGACGGGCCGCGUGAGGCUGCGGGGGCGUCACGUGGCUCCUGCAAAAGCUUUGGUGAAGAUUCAGCAGGCACAUGGCAUCAAAGUAUCAAAGGAAUAAAACGUUAAUACUUGGAAAUGUUGGGGUACUUUAAAAAGUAUUUAUCCCAAUUACUACUUUCAGAAAACAUGUUCGCUAAGGAUUCAGCAUUUCCUGUUCCUUCAGCUGAUUGGGUCUUCUAUAACAGCAGAGGACAAACACAAAUGAGCAACUUAAAGAAAAAAACAGAGUUAAUGGAUACUAGAAUUAAGUGAAAGCAGGAGAAAAUGAGGGAGAUACGUCAAAUGUAAUUUUCUAACUUGUACACUGGCCAGCUAUGCUGGCAGAGGAAGAUGUCUGCUUUGUGCUUCCAGUACUGAAAAUGAAGCAGUGUGCACAUAAAAGUUAUUGGCAGCUGUGCUGAGGCCAGAGGUCGUGCAGCUCUUCAGGCAAGAUUUUAUUUACCUUUUAACCUCCCCAUUUCACCAGCUCGGUCAGAGAUACCAUACUCAACAGCAGCAGGAGCUUGCACACAACAGUUUGAGUCACCUAUAGCUGAACCUAAAUAAAAUAGGUAUGUG